rnacentral:rRNA from 1 species
GUGGGGAAUUUUGGACAAUGGGGGCAACCCUGAUCCAGCCAUCCCGCGUGUGCGAUGAAGGCCUUCGGGUUGUAAAGCACUUUUGGCAGGGAAGAAAAGUUUCGGGCUAAUACCCUGGAGCGAUGACGGUACCUGCAGAAUAAGCACCGGCUAACUACGUGCCAGCAGCCGCGGUAAUACGUAGGGUGCAAGCGUUAAUCGGAAUUACUGGGCGUAAAGCGUGCGCAGGCGGUUCGGAAAGAAAGAUGUGAAAUCCCAGGGCUUAACCUUGGAAAGGCAUUUUUAACUGUCGAACUCGAGUAUGUCAGAGGGGGGUAGAAUUCCACGUGUAGCAGUGAAAUGCGUAGAGAUGUGGAGGAAUACCGAUGGCGAAGGCAGCCCCCUGGGAUAAUACUGACGCUCAUGCACGAAAGCGUGGGGAGCAAACAGGAUUAGAAACCCGUGUAGUCC